rnacentral:rRNA from 1 species
GAUGAACGCUGGCGGCGUGCUUAACACAUGCAAGUCGAACGAAAAGUGAAGACGGAAACCUUCGGGCGGACGGCUUUAUUUCGAGUGGCGGACGGGUGAGUAACGCGUGGGUAACCUGCCUCAUACAGGGGGAUAACAGUUGGAAACGACUGUUAAUACCGCAUCAGACCACACCACCGCAUGAUGCGGUGGUAAAAACUCGCGUGGUAUGGAAUGGACCCGAUUUCGAUUAGCGAGUUGGCGGGGUAACCGCCCACCAACGCGACGAUCGAUAGCCGAGCUGAGAGGAUGGCCGGCCACUGCGGGGCUGAGACACGGCACGAACUCAUACGGGAUGAAGGAGUGGGUGAUAGUGCACCAUGGGGGAAAUCAUGAUGCAGCGACGACGCGAGAGUGAAGAAGUAUGUCAGUAUGUAAAGCUCAAUCAGCAGGGAAGGAAAUGACGGUACCUAAUUAAGAAGCCCCGGCUAACUACGUG